rnacentral:lncRNA from 1 species
CAAUGAAUGACGCAGCAGCUCUGAGAGGAACAUAAGGAAAACACCCAAGCCGGAGUCUCUCACAAGCUUGAAUGUGUGUUCUGGAGCUGAAGGAUGCACGGUUGUUAAGCCCCUGUUCUUUUCCCAGGUUGUUUAAUCUAAUGUUCUUUGGAAUAAAAACCUCCCUGCCAAGUAGUACUUGGUUUUAUGCUCAACAUGCUUUGACUGUUGAAAAGAGACCUUUGGCACACAUUGAAGGGAUGGUGAUGGAGAUGCCAAUCCAUGGAAUCAGGUGGCACAGCUAUGUUGGUAGCUAUAGCAGAAGUCUUCUUGGCAAAGAUUCCUCCAGGGAAGGAAGGUACCAUUGGAGAACCAUGCAUGAAGACAGGGAAGAAAUGAUUGGAAUCAUGAAACAUUAAACUGGAAGGAAGCCCUAGGCAAACCUAACUCAUGGGAAAACAGACACCCACAUGUUACCCAGUUUAGUACCAAAACCAAGGCUGGUAUUUGCAUAAAUAUACUUUUCUUCUCUAUCUAAUAUCAAGGCCUUCUUAGUAUUGUUAAUAGGCCUUAAGCUUGGUUUGUCUACAUAGAAAUCAAAAUAACAAUGUCAACCCAUGAAAGAAUUAAAAGAAGUCCCAAACAGUUCUGAUUUCCUCCAAUGUGACUAUUUCUGAUAUAUUAUAAAAUAACAGAAAUCAAACUCAAAGAAUGAACUUUUUGUCUCUAUUUUGCUAAUAAUGGUUAAAGUAAAUGGAUGGUCUUUCUAGUCUUUCCCAAAGGCCCCUAGAUUAAUUGUUAGUGACAUUGCUAGGAAACUCCCAUGAAAUCUUGUAGGUCCAUGGAAACCAUGCAUCAGACUCUAACAUAUUGUGUAGAUCACAUGCUAUCAUGUGAAAAUGUUCUGUUCCAAAGUCCCCUGGAAUUUGGGAUGUAUUUUUCCUACAGAACAAUGUUCCAAGCAAAGGUCUAUUGGAUUCCUCAAGUGGCUGACUGCAACGAAUGUGCUCAGAAGCUGCUGAGGCUUAAACUUUCAGCCCUUCGAGAGGCAGCUCAAGAGAUUGGGAAACUGGAAGAGGCUCUGCUAUAUCCUGUCCUCCUUUUGGGAGAUCUUGGCAGCCCUUGCGUAGAGAGAGGGAGGAGGGUUGGUG